rnacentral:rRNA from 1 species
UCCUGUAAUCCUCGAGGGACCACCUGUGGCGAAGGCGCCUCACCAGAACGGCUUCGACAGUGAGGGACGAAAGCUGGGGGAGCAAACCGGAUUAGAUACCCGGGUAGUCCCAGCCGUAAACGAUGCGCGUUAGGUGUGUCGAUGACCACGAGUCAUCGAGGUGCCGAAGGGAAACCGUGAAACGCGCCGCCUGGGAAGUACGGUCGCAAGGCUGAAACUUAAAGGAAUUGGCGGGGGAGCACCACAACAGGUGGAGCCUGCGGUUUAAUUGGACUCAACGCCGGGAAGCUCACCGGAUAGGACAGCAGAAUGAUUGCCGGGCUGAAGACUCUGCAUGACUAGCUGAGAGGAGGUGCAUGGCCGUCGUCAGUUCGUACUGUGAAGCAUCCUGUUAAGUCAGGCAACGAGCGAGACCCACGCCAACAGUUGCCAGCACGAUCCCCGGAUCGGUGGGGACACUGUUGGGACCGCCUCUGCUAAAGAGGAGGAAGGAAUGGGCAACGGUAGGUCAGCAUGCCCCGAAUUAUCCGGGCUACACGCGGGCUACAAUGGGCAGGACAAUGGGUAUCGACGCCGAAAGGCGAAGGCAAUCUCCUAAACCUGUCCGUAGUUCGGAUUGUGGGCUGUAACUCGCCCACAUGAAGCUGGAAUCUGUAGUAAUCGCGUUUCAAAAUAGCGCGGUGAAUAUGUCCCUGCUCCUUGCACACACCGCCCGUCAAACCACCCGAGUGGGGUUUGGAUGAGGCUGCGGUCGUUGCCGCAGUCGAAUCUAGGUUCUGCAAGGGGGGUUAAGUCGUAACAAGGUAGCCGUA